rnacentral:rRNA from 1 species
GACGAACGCUGGCGGCGUGCUUAACACAUGCAAGUCGAACGGUAAGGCCCUUCGGGGUACACGAGUGGCGAACGGGUGAGUAACACGUGGGUGAUCUGCCCUGCACUUCGGGAUAAGCCUGGGAAACUGGGUCUAAUACCGGAUAGGACUCCGGACUGCAUGGUCUGGGGUGGAAAGCUUUUGCGGUGUGGGAUGGGCCCGCGGCCUAUCAGCUUGUUGGUGGGGUGAUGGCCUACCAAGGCGACGACGGGUAGCCGGCCUGAGAGGGUGACCGGCCGCACUGGGACUGAGAUACGGCCCAGACUCCUACGGGAGGCAGCAGUGGGGAAUAUUGCACAAUGGGCGCAAGCCUGAUGCAGCGACGCCGCGUGAGGGAUGACGGCCUUCGGGUUGUAAACCUCUUUCAGCAUCGACGAAGCGAAAGUGACGGUAGGUGCAGAGGAAGGACCGGCCAACUACGUGCCAGCAGCCGCCGUAA